GGACCCGGGGAGCCAAGGGGUCAGGCUGCCCCUGGCCCUUCCUUCCUGGGUGGGGGGGAGCAGGCUCCAGGUGGAGAGGCACUGGAGCCCGGGCCAGCCUCUGCCGCACGCCUUCCACUCUGGACUCGGAAUGAGCCUGUGGGCCAGGAGCCUCAAGAAGCUUCCACAAGGAAUAGAGCCCAGAGGACCCGCAGAGCCUGUGCCUACAUCCCACCUGUAAACUGGACCAUGGUCACCUGAUGAUUUUAACCAGCGGGUCAAAGAAUACGGUCCCUCCAGCGCACAAACAGUGACAGACAUUCAGGCCUUUAUCAUCCUCCAAGUGGCCUCAAUUUUCUUACCUUUUGUCAAAAAAAAAAUUCUUUGAACUUUU